CGAGUGGCGGACGGGUGAGUAAUGUCUGGGAAACUGCCUGAUGGAGGGGGAUAACUACUGGAAACGGUAGCUAAUACCGCAUAACGUCGCAAGACCAAAGAGGGGGACCUUCGGGCCUCUUGCCAUCGGAUGUGCCCAGAUGGGAUUAGCUAGUAGGUGGGGUAAAGGCUCACCUAGGCGACGAUCCCUAGCUGGUCUGAGGGGAUGACCAGCCACACUGGAACUGAGACACGGUCCAGACUCCUACGGGAGGCAGCAUG
rnacentral:rRNA from 1 species